GGCAGUAGAGCAGCACCAACUAAGACCGGGGGCGUCUCAAAGCCCCCUUUUCCUUUUGAGGGGGAAAGCUCGAGAAAGAGGACGCCACUGCUAGGGCCAGAGAGAGAGAGAGAGAGAGAGAGAGAGAGAGAGAGAGAGAGAGAAAGAGAGAAUGAGAAAGCGAGAACCGUGAAGGGGAGGAGGAAGCAAAUUAAUACGGGCGGGCAAGAGGGUCCAGCUAACGAACGAACCGACGCCAAGUCUAGUGUCGACCAGCGCCGCGACGCCUUGCAAUCCCACUUUCUCUCUCUCUUCCGCUAGCUUGAUCGUUCUCAUCCUUGUUUCUCGAAAUCCAUCUCGAGACACAUACAUAUUAUUAUCUACGAUUAUUACGUAUAUCGUUUCUUCGCACACGCGUCGUUGAUUUUUUUUCUAACGAGUAUUUCGAUCGACCUUCGUCGAUCUACUACUCUUGAGAGAUAGAACUCGUACGUCGGUUGUUUUUUUUUUUUUUAAAGGCACACGUUCACUCACGUCGAUUAAGAAAAUGACAUCACACGCGUUACGCGGUGUUUUGUGAACGAAGGGCUUGUUGUUUAUCGGAUUGAUACUUUGGAUUUUGGCGGUGACAGUGAGAGAUUAGAGCGUUCUUUUUGAGUGUUAGCAUGGAUGAUUUUAAUGGAGGCCGGUGUCGAGCGUGAUUCUAAGGGAUUUUUAUCGAUAGCUUUCCUUUUUUUCGUUGUUUUGUGAAAUACAAAAUUAAGGAUGAUCACGUUUCAACGUUAAAUUGUUUUCUCUUUUUAAAUGAUUUGUUUAUAAACUUUCAAGUUUGCUUUAGUACAUAUUUGUUGAAGAAUCGCUUCUUUUUCCGGGAAAUACAAUUUUUCAAUUUUGUAUUUUCCUUUUAAUCGACUUUCUUUAAUCCGGAUUAUUACCGACGUCGACGGUACGUAGUUAAAAUAUAUCGACUGAUUAAUUAAACGAUUAAAAGAGGAACGUCCAUGAAAAUUAGCGACGAAACGAGCGGACGAUUAAGAUUAACAGAAUAAUUAGUAGAUUUCUUCUCGUCGCGAUAAUCACGAUAAACGAUAGUUUCUCUCCUUUCUAAGAGCUGGCUCUGCCCUGUGCUCGAUCUAUUUUUCUUCUUUCUUUUUUUACAUUGCACCGACAUUUUGCAAGUAAACGUCUAUCGAGAUUGGAAUCACACGCAAUUUCCAUACGACUCGACUGUGUUGAUAAAUGGAGAAUAUAUAGCACAUGUUCUUUUUUAAAUAGCUCCUAGUUCUUAGAGUUGUUUGCGAUGCCGAUUCGUUAGCGCGGAAAUCGCUGAGAACUCGCGAAGGAGAAGGAGAAUCGGAAGGAAACGUCACGGUGUUGUCGCUUUCGCGAAAACGAGUCACGAGGAUCGAGCCGAUGCUCGCUUCGAGACGUUCUCCUCGCAGUCUCAUUUUAAUUAAACGAAAUUCCGCGUGUAACAAAGGGCGGCAAGCCAGCCGGAUAAUUCGAAAGGGCAGAUACGUGCUUCCUGGUUGGUCGAGUCGGUGGAUACGGGUGGUGGCGGCGAGGGAAGAGGGUCGACGGAGGUAUUAUGUAGGAUACGUAUACGUGUGCGGAUUGGAUGAUUGGAAUCGUAGAACGAACGAAGCUCGUCUUCGUGCAUGCGUCGCGACCCAUCGUUACGAGCCUAGUAUAAACCUACGCCAUUUUCUAUGGUCAUCGAGAGAAUGAGCAGCGUGCGAACUCUGCUAACACAUCCAGAGAUAUGUUUUGGCUACGAUAUUAUUGUCUUCUGAUUAUAUCGGACAAUGGAAGCAUUGCCGGAAGUGUAACGGAAAUUGUGCCUCUCGAUGCGCGACUAGGGGAGGAUGAUGUGCAGGGAUAGGGUGAGUGAGAUAGAUAGAGAAAGAGAGAAAGGGAUAGAGAGAGAGGGGGUUGGGGGAGAGCGGGAGUAUGAUAUGCGCGUAGACGCAAACGCGUGGUUGUCUUCAUAGGGACAGCAAUUUCGAGACGUGCCAAUCGUCACGUUGAAGGAAGAAAACGGAAAUUGGAUGGACCAGCGUCUUGAGACCUUCCUGCGGAUGUAAUAAAUGUUCCCUCGGUGAUUUAUGGAAUUUUAUUUAUCCUUUUUCGUAUCUUAGUAACCGGACUUUGGAUCACAGGAUUACUUGGGAUAUUAUGUUCCAUAUAAUUCUCAUGACUUUAGAGGAAAUUUUAUUUAUCCUACCGCGCGAGAUAGGAGGAACGAAGAAGCAUUUAUUAGGUGCUCCGAUCGGUAUGCACGUAUCGCUUAGUCGAUGGGAGCAAGUUCUUGAUUUCCGCUUCUUUCGAAAGCAUACUUUCUUCCUCGUUUUCGUCCUCUUCGUUCGUCUAUUAUAAGUUCGAUGCAGAUUCCUUCGCUUCACGUUCACCAUUCUUACGAGGAAUUCGAUAUCGUGCAAUUAAAUGCUCUCCUUCCUGUACCGCCCUUUCACUAAGAUGGAAGAAGAAGAUGCAGUCAAAGAGAGAACUUAAGGUCGAGGAUCCGAAGGGAAGAAGUUGCAGGAUGCGACGUAGCCGAAGAAGAGAAAGGGGCAAGAAAGUUGUCUGCAAACAGUCAGAGAAAGAAUUUUGCCGAAGCUUUAAGUAAUUGGACGGAUGUAAGAGAUUCGAGCACGUGGUUGACGACCUCAACACAUCGUAAAUGGCAAAACGUAAAAUAGUUUACGUUAUUGGACAAUGAAAUCUGGAGAUACCAGUUACCAUUCGUAGACUUGAUUGAAUCAUAAACGAAGGAAUGGUUGAUGGGGAAUAUUUAAAGGAUGGAUAGGAAGAAGAGAAUACGAAAGCAUUUUCGUAUAAUUGAUCAAGUCUAAUGAGUUAAAGGGGAUGAAACGGUAUCGAUAAUGGAUAUUAAAGAGUUCUAGGUCAUGGCAACGACAGCCUCGAGGGAGAGAGAAAGUACGGAGAACUUGGGUACUUGUUCUCUCUCUCUCUCUCUUCCACCUCUUUAGCCCUCCCGUCACUCGGUCGGGUCGGUCCAACCGAUGUGCAGAGAGCGCUGAUUGUAAAUUAGUUAAAGGAGAUGCUUUAUUAGAAGCAGCUGUUUGCACCCUGAGAGUUCGCUUUCCUAUUGUUAAUAGAGUUUUAUAGUAAAAAUCGUUUACUUCUUAUAAGUAUUCAUAAUAGUUAAGAUAAAGAAGAGAUAUUUUAUAAAAAAUAUGAAUAACUUAACAUGCAACACGGGGAAUUAGUCAAGCACAGAUCGCAAUUGUCAAAAAUGUAUUCACCUUAAGAGAAACUAACGAAAUCCUAUCCCAUAUCGCCAUUACUUGUUAGUCGCCUCGGGACUCGAGCUCGCCAGCGAUGACGUUUCAACGUCGCUCCACGCUCACUUUUCAAUUUGCAGACAAAUGAAGAAGGAGCUGCACUGGUAGGAAGAAAACGUGUGGGACACGUAAUGGGGCAUAGAGUAGGAGGAUGAAUGCUAUCAAGUAAAAAGAGAUAAAAAUGGUGAAGAAGAAAAUAGAGAGGAGAAAAGACAAAGAGAAAAAGCGAGAGGAGAGUUAGGAAGGAGUGGGAUGGAGCGAGUGGGGGAGGGAUGAUACUAAAAGAAAGAAAGGAAACGCGUGGCGAAGCAGCAGAAGGGAUGGUCGAGUAUGAGAAAGGAGAAAAGGCGGCCUGUUACACGAAAGGUGGUGUCUUCCAUGUCCCCCAGGGAAAUUAUUGACAGUCAGCGAGGAAAUGACGUCGUAAAUACCACCUCGAGCCGAACCCCUCCUCGCAAGAGCAUCUACCAUCUUCGCCUUUUCAACUUGCCUUCGUUUCUUCUCUUUUCCAUUUCUUUCUUUUUUUCUCCUCCUAAUGCCCACCACCUUAUCCCCACUUACUAACUCCUUUUCUUUCGUUUCCAUGUUUCUCGGCUCGCUCAUGUGGAAGGUACACGUUAUUUCCACCGAAUUUAUCAUUGAUUUAACAUAAGAUUUUGAAGAUAGCCCUUCGAUUGUUUGCUGUCAGUAUCUCUUUUCGAAUAAAUCCAUAUUUUUUUUAUAUUAAGCGAAAUUUCAGAGAACAAAUGAAAGAAGAUAUGGAAAACUGAGAAAAGAAACGUUAGAAUUUGGGUCAUAUUACUAUGAUAGAAGGAAAUUAAAUAGACUCGCAAUGAAACGCAACCAGCGCGUAUCCUUUUUCGCGUUUACGAAACGUCGUUUGAGAUGUUAUUUAGUCGGCACGAAAAGGGACACCACCUUGGACUCGUAACAACUACGCAUUAAAAUGUUUCCAUGAAAAAAUUAACUCCGACCUAUUGGCAAGCGCUAGAAGAAUGUUUGAGUUGUUCUCGUUUUUUUUUCCUUUUUUUCGUCUGCAAUUUUGAUUUCAUUCGUAUCAUUUCCGGACGAACGUUGUAGGUAUUAUUAAAAUGUACAAAGCAGGAAUCAUUUCCAGUUAACAAUGUGUACGAGAGAAAGUUCCCUCCCCUUAUAAAGAAAUAGGGAGACGGAAGUGACUCGCGUUUUGUUUCUUUCUUUUCUCCUUUGCUCUUCUUUUUCUUCUUCUUCUUCUUUAUUGCUGAUGUUUCAUCCCUCGGAGCGAUUUAAUAGUUUUAUAAAGCCGCAAGCAAACGCUCAGCUCGUCGAGUUAAUUUCUUAUUUUUUAUUUCCUCAUUGUUCUUUCUUUCACAGGUAUUUAAAUCGAAGAAAUACCGUUGGUUUAUUAAAAGAAACACAAUGCAAUAUAUAUAUCUUUCUAUAACGCUUAUUCUAACAAUAAAAUAGCAGUUGAGAAUUCUUUCGUUUUUGCUUGUAUUAUUAGCAAUUUUCAUAUUUCAGGCGAGAGCGCAGUCGAGGUAUGUAGAUAUAAAGCGAAAAAGGAGAAGAAGAAAGAGGCGAGGCAGCGCUUGGAAUAUUUGCACGUGGAAAGACGAAACUCGUCGCUUCUCUCGGAUAUUGCAACCGAUGCCUCUCGUUUUCCCUUAUCCCCAAGUUUCUUUGCCGCGUGAAAGAAGAAGGAAGAAAGAAGAAGCGCAUUAUACGUGGAAGCGUUCCUCCCUUUCGCCUCGCGGCCACACGGAGAACAGGGAGUUCUCGCUUUGGAAGAAAAGGGAGAAAAACGAUGCCGCGGAGGAAAAUGUCGAGAGGAAAAAAGAUGACGAUUGAAAUUUCUGGCACGGAAGUCGCGCGAGUUUCGCUCAACAUUUGCGAUGCGUUCUUCUAUCGGUAGACACCGUGAGAAUUCUUCGAGCGUCUUAUUCUUCUUCGUAUAGACGCACGUGGAUCGAGAAAGUAUCCUCUUUGGCAUUAAAUGAUGCUCCUAUACAAAUCUAUAUAUUCUAUUGGUGUAUAUAGUAUUUAAAAUACAAAUUUUCAAUUUCUUCCUACGUAAUAUUACACAAUAAGCAUUUCGUUGGAAUAAUGUUGUUAGUACAUGCAAUACUAAUAAAAAAUAUAUUUAGAGAUGAUGACA